AGCUCGGCCACAUACUGCCACG
rnacentral:miRNA from 1 species